rnacentral:rRNA from 1 species
GACGAACGCUGGCGGCGUGCUUAACACAUGCAAGUCGAACGGAAAGGCCCUGCUUUUGUGGGGUGCUGGAGUGGCGAACGGGUGAGUAACACGUGAGUAACCUGCCCUUGACUUUGGGAUAACUUCAGGAAACUGGGGCUAAUACCGGAUAGGAGCUCCUGCUGCAUGGUGGGGGUUGGAAAGUUUCGGCGGUUGGGGAUGGACUCGCGGCUUAUCAGCUUGUUGGUGGGGUAGUGGCUUACCAAGGCUUUGACGGGUAGCCGGCCUGAGAGGGUGACCGGCCACAUUGGGACUGAGAUACGGCCCAGACUCCUACGGGAGGCAGCAGUGGGGAAUAUUGCAUAAUGGGCGGAAGCCUGAUGCAGCAACGCCGCGUGCGGGAUGACGGCCUUCGGGUUGUAAACCGCUUUCGCCUGUGACGAAGCGUGAGUGACGGUAAUGGGUAAAGAAGCACCGGCUAACUACGUG